GCCAGGCAUGGUGGUGCAUGCCUAUAGUUCCAGCUACCCUGGAGGCUGAGGCAGGAGGAUCGCUUGAGCCCAGGAAGUAGAGGCUGCAGUGAGCCAUGAUUGUGUCACUGCACUCCUGCCUGGGUGACAGAGUGAGAUCCUGUCUCAA
ensembl:misc_RNA Metazoa_SRP Metazoan signal recognition particle RNA